UACAGAGGUGGCAAGCGUUGUUCGGAAUUACUGGGCGUAAAGGGCGCGUAGGCGGCCUUCUAAGUCAGACGUGAAAUCCCCAGGCUUAACUUGGGAACUGCGUCUGAUACUGGGAGGCUUGAGUGCGGGAGAGGGAUGUGGAAUUCCAGGUGUAGCGGUGAAAUGCGUAGAUAUCUGGAGGAACACCGGUGGCGAAGGCGGCAUCCUGGACCGACACUGACGCUGAGGCGCGAAAGCUAGGGUAGCAAACGGG
rnacentral:rRNA from 1 species